GCUCACGUGGUGGAAUUGGUAGACACGCCAUCUUGAGGGGGUGGUGCCCAAUGGGUGUGCUGGUUCGAAUCCAGUCGUGAGCAC
rnacentral:tRNA from 1 species